rnacentral:rRNA from 1 species
CCUACGGGUGGCAGCAGUGAGGAAUCUUGGUCAAUGGCCGUAAGGCUGAACCAGCCAAGUAGCGUGAGGGAAGACUGCCCUAUGGGUUGUAAACCUCUUUUAUACGGGGGUAAGGGUGUCCACGUAUGGAUGUUUGCAGGUACCGCAUGAAUAAGGACCGGCUAAUUCCGUGCCAGCCGCCGCGGUAAUACGGAAGGUCGGGGCGUUAUCCGGAUUUAUUGGGUUUAAAGGGAGCGUAGGCCGGCCUUUAAGCGUGCCGUGAAAUUUUGGGGCUCAACCAUGAGAGUGCGGCGAGAACUGGAGACCUUGAGUGCGCGGAAGGCAGGCGGAAUUCGUGGGGUAGCGGUGAAAGGAUUAGAUAUCACGAAGAACCCCGAUGGCGAAGGCA